rnacentral:rRNA from 1 species
GACGGAGGGGCAAGCGUUGUCCGGACUCACUGGGCGUAAAGGGUGCGUAGGCGGUUGGUGCGUCGGCGACUGAAAUCCGUGGGCUUAACCCACGGGCGCGAUGCCGAUACGACUUGACUUGGAGGCUCGGAGAGGGUGGGAGAACUCCUGGUGUGAGUGGUGAAAUGCGAUAGAGAUCGAGGGAAGAAUACCUGUGGCGCGAAGCGCCGACCUGGCCGAAGACCUGA